AUUGAACGCUGGCGGCAGGCCUAACACAUGCAAGUCGAGCGGAUGAAGGGAGCUUGCUCCUGGAUUCAGCGGCGGACGGGUGAGUAAUGCCUAGGAAUCUGCCUGGUAGUGGGGGAUAACGUCCGGAAACGGGCGCUAAUACCGCAUACGUCCUGAGGGAGAAAGUGGGGGAUCUUCGGACCUCACGCUAUCAGAUGAGCCUAGGUCGGGUUAGCUAGUUGGUGGGGUAAAGGCCUACCAAGGCGACGAUCCGUAGCUGGUCUGAGAGGAUGAUCAGUCACACUGGAACUGAGACACGGUCCAGACUCCUACGGGAGGCAGCAGUGGGGAAUAUUGCACAAUGGGCGAAAGCCUGAUCCAGCCAUGCCGCGUGUGUGAAGAAGGUCUUCGGAUUGUAAAGCACUUUAAGUUGGGAGGAAGGGCAGUAAGUUAAUACCUUGCUGUUUUGACGUUACCAACAGAAUAAGCACCGGCUAACUUCGUG
rnacentral:rRNA from 1 species